rnacentral:rRNA from 1 species
UACAGGGGGGGCAAGCGUUGUUCGGAAUUACUGGGCGUAAAGGGCUCGUAGGCGGCCAACUAAGUCAGACGUGAAAUCCCUCAGCUUAACUGGGGAACUGCGUCUGAUACUGGAUGGCUUGGAUUCGGGAGAGGAAUGCGGAAUUCCAGGUGUAGCGGUGAAAUGCGUAGAUAUCAGGAGGAACACCGAUGGCGAAGGCAGGUCUCUGGGCCACUACUGACGCUGAGAAGCGAAAGCGUGGGGAGCGAACAGG